rnacentral:rRNA from 1 species
AGAGUUUGAUCCUGGCUCAGGAUGAACGCUAGCUACAGGCUUAACACAUGCAAGUCGAGGGGCAGCAUGUUGGUUGCUUGCAACCAACGAUGGCGACCGGCGCACGGGUGAGUAACGCGUAUCCAACCUACCCUUGUCCAUCGGAUAACCCGUCGAAAGGCGGCCUAACACGAUAUGCGGUUCACAGCAGGCAUCUAACGUGAACGAAAUGUAAAGGAGAAGGAUGGGGAUGCGUCUGAUUAGCUUGUUGGCGGGGUAACGGCCACCGAAGGCUACGAUCAGUAGGGGUUCUGAGAGGAAGGUCCCCCANAUUGGAACUGAGACACGGUUCAAACUCCUACGGGAGGC